GACAGAGGAGCCAAGCGUUGUCCGGAUUGACUGGGCGUAAAGCGCACGCAGGCGGUCGUGCACGUGGGGUGUGAAAACUGGCGGCUUAACUGCCAGAGGCCACCUCAUACGGCGCGACUCGAGCCCUGCAGAGGUCCAUGGAAUUGCCGGUGCAGUGGUGAAAUGCGUAGAGAUCGGCAGGAACACCCAGGGGGAAACCAGUGGACUGGGCAGGAGCUGACGCUCAGGUGCGAAAGCAUGGGUAGCAAACAGG
rnacentral:rRNA from 1 species